rnacentral:rRNA from 1 species
UACAGAGGGUGCGAGCGUUAAUCGGAAUUACUGGGCGUAAAGCGCGCGUAGGCGGCUUUGCAAGUCGGGUGUGAAAUCCCCAGGCUUAACCUGGGAACUGCAUUCGAGACUGCAUUGCUAGAGUAUGGGAGAGGGAAGUGGAAUUUCCGGUGUAGCGGUGAAAUGCGUAGAUAUCGGAAGGAACAUCAGUGGCGAAAGCGACUUCCUGGACCAAUACUGACGCUCAUGUGCGAAAGCGUGGGGAGCAAACAGGAU